rnacentral:rRNA from 1 species
GACGAAGGAUGCAAGCGUUAUCCGGAUUCAUUGGGUUUAAAGGGAGCGUAGGCAGAUUUGUAAGUCAGUGGUGAAAUCUCCGGGCUCAACCCGGAAACUGCCAUUGAUACUGCAGGUCUAGAGUACAGUUGCCGUUGGCGGAAUAUGACAUGUAGUGGUGAAAUACUUAGAUAUGUCAUAGAACACCGAUUGCGAAGGCAGCUAACGAAGCUGUAACUGACGCUGAGGCUCGAAAGUGCGGGGAUCAAACAGG